AUUGAACGCUGGCGGCAGGCCUAACACAUGCAAGUCGAACGGAAGAACAGUGCUUGCUUGUGGUUUCGGCGGGGGACUGGUGUGAGAGACCUGAGAAUAUCCUGCUCUUGUCUUUAGUAUGUCUUCAGGAAGGCGCUGAUACUACAUGAGUGCAGACGCUGCACGGUGGUGGGCGUCGGACCUUAUGCUCUGACGUGAGUGGAUGCGCGGAUGUCGGGUUGGCUGGUUGGUGGGGUACUGACCUACCAAGGCGACGAUCCGUAGCUGGUCUGAGAGGAUGAUCAGCCACACUGGAACUGAGACACGGUCCAGACUCCUACGGGAGGCAGCAGUGGGGAAUAUUGGACAAUGGGCGAAAGCCUGAUCCAGCCAUGCCGAGUGUGUGAAGAAGGCCUUCGGGUUGUAAAGCCCUUUUAGUGGGGAUGAAGCGCAGUAGGUUAAUACCAAGCUGUUGUGACGGUACCAAAAGAAUAAGCACCGGCUAACUUCGUG
rnacentral:rRNA from 1 species